rnacentral:rRNA from 1 species
UACGUAGGGUGCGAGCGUUGCCCGGAUUUAUUGGGCGUAAAGGGCGCGUAGGCGGUGAGACACGUUCGUUGUGAAAUCGCCCGGCUCAACUGGGCGGGGUCAGCGGAUACGGUCUCACUUGAGCAAGCUAGGGGGCAAUGGAAUUCCCGGUGUAGUGGUGGAAUGCGUAGAUAUCGGGAGGAACACCGGUGGCGAAGGCGGUUCUCCGGGCCGUAACUGACGCUGAGGAGCGAAAGCGUGGGGAGCGAACAGG